CCUCUGGUAGCUCAGUUGGUAGAGCGGUGGACUGUAGUUGGAAUUAUUAAACAGAUAUCCAUAGGUCGCUGGUUCAAAUCCGGCCCGGAGGA
rnacentral:tRNA from 1 species